rnacentral:tRNA from 1 species
GGGGGUGUAGCUAAGUGGUAGGCAGCUUGUGUAGCAAACACAAGGCCUGGGUUCAAUCCCCAGCAAACACCCCCA